UACAGAGGUCCCAAGCGUUGUUCGGAUUCAUUGGGCGUAAAGGGUGCGUAGGCGGCGCGGUAAGUCGGGUGUGAAAUCUCGGGGCUUAACUCCGAAACUGCAUUCGAUACUGCCGUGCUUGAGGACUGGAGAGGAGACUGGAAUUUACGGUGUAGCGGUGAAAUGCGUAGAGAUCGGGAGGAACACCAGAGGCGAAGGCGGCGACCUGGACAAGUACUGACACUCAACUACGAAAGCGUGGGGAGCAAACAGG
rnacentral:rRNA from 1 species